rnacentral:rRNA from 1 species
AUGAACGCUGGCGGCGUGCUUAACACAUGCAAGUCGAACGAAACACCUUAUUUGAUUUUCUUCGGAACUGAAGAUUUGGUGAUUGAGUGGCGGACGGGUGAGUAACGCGUGGGUAACCUGCCCUGUACAGGGGGAUAACAGUCAGAAAUGACUGCUAAUACCGCAUAAGACCACAGCACCGCAUGGUGCAGGGGUAAAAACUCCGGUGGUACAGGAUGGACCCGCGUCUGAUUAGCUGGUUGGUGAGGUAACGGCUCACCAAGGCGACGAUCAGUAGCCGGCUUGAGAGAGUGAACGGCCACAUUGGGACUGAGACACGGCCCAAACUCCUACGGGAAGCAGCAGUGGGGAAUAUUGCACAAUGGGGGAAACCCUGAUGCAGCGACGCCGCGUGAGUGAAGAAGUAUUUCGGUAUGUAAAGCUCUAUCAGCAGGGAAGAAAAUGACGGUACCUGACUAAGAAGCCCCGGCUAACUACGUG